CCCCUCUCAGGAUCGUAUCUGGAGAGUUUCCAGUACUUUACCAGUCUAGGCUACAGGAGGGAGAGUCAAGCAGAGGCCUAUCCAUUUCAUUCCAAGCUUAGCCAGUGGCUAGCGAGUGGAAGGCAAUCUAUUACAAAU